UCACUGCAAGCUCCAUCUCCUGGGUUCACGCCAUUCUCCUGCCUCAGCCUCCCGAGUAGCUGGGACUACAGGCGCCCGCCAUCACGCCCGCCUAAUUUUUGUAUUUUUUGGUAGAGACGGGGUUUCACUGUGUUAGCCAGGAGGGUCUCGAUCUCCUGACCUCAUGAUCCACCCGCCUCGGCCUCCCAAAGUGCUUGGAUUACAGGCGUGAGCCACCACGCCCGGCCAAGACUUGGUCUCUUAAAAAAUGGAGGAAAGAAAACACAGUCUCUUUUUUUCCCCUGAGAUAGCUUAUCCUAAGGACAAGGCUCUGAGGGGUAAGGAGACAGGGUUUGGUUUUAGUUUUGACUCUCUUGGUCCUGUGUCCCUGGGACUGGUGAGUCCACCAGGGACUGCACUCCUCCAUCUCCCAGGCCGUCCGUGGCCAGGGCCAGUUGGCGGAGGGGAGGGAGUUGAUGGAGCUGGUGGGUGGGGCUCCCAGGGCCAUGCUCCCACCCAGCCCACCCCCUGCUGGAGCACUGCUGGGCCCCAGCGACCCUGCCCCAUACUUGGCAGGCCCUGACUGCAGAGAUCGUGAAGACCAUCCGGGACAUCAUUGCCUUGAACCCUCUCUACAGGGAGUCAGUGCUGCAGAUGAUGCAGGCUGGCCAGCGGGUGGUGGACAACCCCAUCUACCUGAGCGACAUGGGCGCCGCGCUCACCGGGGCCGAGUCCCAUGAGCUGCAGGACGUCCUGGAAGAGACCAAUAUUCCUAAGCGGCUGUACAAGGCCCUCUCCCUGCUGAAGAAGGAAUUUGAACUGAGCAAGCUGCAGCAGCGCCUGGGGCGGGAGGUGGAGGAGAAGAUCAAGCAGACCCACCGUAAGUACCUGCUGCAGGAGCAGCUAAAGAUCAUCAAGAAGGAGCUGGGCCUGG
rnacentral:lncRNA from 10 species